UGCUCUAACAGCACUUGACGUCAGAUAUUAGGGAUGGAAUGAUUACUGUUCUGACCCAGCAUGACUUUGAUGCUUUGUGCUGGGAGUAUAAAAUAGGUACAGACUCACUUAAAUGAUAGUACUGCAUGCUGUCAAAAACUGACAGGAGCAAGGGUGGCGUUCCUACUAACACCUGCCCACAACCUGACUAAACCACAGAGGACCUUUGAUAUUUUGUGUUUGCAUGUGGUUUAUAUAGGAGUCAUAUGUAUAUUAUUUUUUUACUCAAGGUUGCAUAAAAUGUCUAUCUGGCACUUGACUGAUGAAACAAUUCAGUUUUUCUUCUCUUUGAUCACCUCUUGUAUUGUUGUACCUCACAAUAAGUCAUACUUGUGAUGAAAUGAUUGCAAUGUGUUUUAGUGCCGUGUGAAAAUAUCCAUUCUAGUUCUCACAUAUUAUAGAAGACAAGAGUGAUUUUUCUCAUGAAAAAGAAGAUCCGAUUCGUAUCUCGAUACAUGGGCCCGAUACAAUACAAGAAAAGAUGCAUGUUGAUAAAAAACGAUUCAGUGCGAUUCAAUGCAGUUCAAUAAUUGAAAACACUGCGUUGUGAGGAAACAAUGGACCUCAUUCUCGAACAUUUUCUUAAGUCUCUUCUUAAAUAUCUUCUUCCCAACUUCGAAAGACCAACCUCAAAAAAGAUCUCUGCCGGAUUCAUGAAAGCCUGGAAAUGUGUUCUUAAACCGCCAAAGUUUUCUUAGCUGUGCACUGAUUCUUUAAUUGAACGCGCUUUCUCAUGCACCUGAACUUGCAUACAGAAACGCCCCAGCUCCUUAUAAGGGCAUGCUAUUGCAAUGUGUGCACACUCCACAGGCAACGCGAAAGAAACUUCAGACUGAUCAAAAUCAUGUCAAAGUGAGCACCGGUAAACCCAGACCUAAUUUCACCGGUGCAGAGGUGGAGAUACUGUUGCAGAAUGUAGAUGUGUCCAUUCUAUUCCACUAUGGUUAUAUCCACGCGAUUGAGUUUAGCGCUUAUUUAUUUAUUCACUGCGUUCUGCGUCACUGUGUUGGUAUAGUGCUUUUAUUUAUGUUAGGACAUCACGCUAGCAUAGCAUUGGUCAUUGAAAUGAAUAGCGUAGCUAGCAUAGCAUUGGCCAUUGAAAUGAAUGGGAGUUGUAAUCUGUCAUUCUCUCCAGGUCUAUAUAAUACCUCCAUGUACCUCGGGGCGUUAUUUGUGAGAAUACAGCCUGGUUGGCUUAUGCAAUGCAGGCUUUGGCCAAUGACAGGCUGUCAUUGUUCUGACUGAGAUCAAAUGCAACAGGUCAGCGAGUGAGAGUUUUGCGUAGCAAUUUAACAGAGAGACAAACGCUUGUGAACCGGUUCAUAACUUUUAAAUCGGGCAAAGACCGGUUCAUGUCAUUUUAAUACCGAUACGGGACUUCACGCAUUGAUGUAGUCGUAUCUUACACGCUAAAAACGGAUAUCGAUACGUAGCGGUUAUUUUUUACACCCCUAGUGAUUUUACCUCCAGCUUGAAACACAGGCACAUGAGGGCUUAGUUUAG
rnacentral:lncRNA from 1 species